UACGGGGGGGGUAAGCGUUGUUCGGAAUUACUGGGCGUAAAGGGCUCGUAGGCGGCCAACUAAGUCAUACGUGAAAUCCCUCAGCUUAACUGGGGAACUGCGUGUGAUACUGGAUGGCUUGGAUUUGGGAGAGGGAUGCGGAAUUCCAGGUGUAGCGGUGAAAUGCGUAGAUAUCUGGAGGAACACCAAUGGCGAAGGCAGCACUCUGGGACGUGACUGACGCUGAGACGCGAAAGCGUGGGGAGCAAACAGG
rnacentral:rRNA from 1 species